CUGGGUGCUCAUCGCUCUCUCUCCCCAGCGGUCUGGCCUCCACUCUUCCUUCAGGGGUGCUUCAUAUAGUUCUUCCUGGCACCUCCCGGGAUGUGACUCUGGGCCCCGUGGCCAUCAUGUCCCUCCUGGUCUCCUUCUACACCUUCCGUGACCCCCCCUGUGCUGUGCUGCUGGCCUUCCUGUGGGGCUGCAUGCAGUUGGCCAUGGGCUCCUGGGCUUGGGGUUCCUGCUGAAACCCUGCCCCACCAUCUCCGGCCCCGUCAGUCAUUAAAGGUCUCACCUCUGCUGCUACCGUCACCAUCGGCCUUGGGCAGAUCAAGAUUAGCCUGGCUACAGGUUUCUCCAUUUUUGAAAUCUUUUUUUAAGAACUAGUUUUAGUUUUAUCAAUUUCUUUAUUGAUUUCCCAUUUUCAGUGUCAUUAAUUUCUGCUGUAAUUUUUAUUAUUUCCUUUCUUCUGUUUACUUUAGGAUUCCUUUGUCCUUCUUUCUCUAGCUUGUUGUUUCAGCUCUUUCUUUUCUCUAAUCUGUGCAUUCCCCACUGUAAAUUUCCCUCUGGGUCCUGCUUUC
rnacentral:lncRNA from 1 species